CCUGCCCCUAGAAGGGUUGCAGGUGUGGCUGCUGUGUCACAUGUGCAUCAGUAGGGGGCAAAGAGGAGAGAGGCUAUGUCUACAGUCAGUGUUCUGACCUCUGAACAUCUGAAUGAUGGUAAGUAGCCUAACAUU